GAGCUUUCAAGAGCAUCGAGGAUGUAGUGAAGAGGACAAAGAACACCCGACUCCGUGCCCACCUUUUCGACUCAACGGUUCUUCCUGCCCUAACGUAUGCAUCAGAAACUUGGUCGCUACGUAAGCAGGAUGAAAGAUCACUCAGCGUUAUCGAACGCUCAGUCGAAAGGACCAUGCUAGGAGUAUCCCGUUUCGCACAAGUAAGGGAUGGGAUCCGAAGCUCCGAUCUACGUCAACGAUCGAAAAUCAAAGAUGCCGUUCUAUACGCCAAACAGUCGAAGAUAAGGUGGGCCGGACACGUAAUGCGUAUGAAUGAUAACCGAUGGACAAGGGCUGUUAGUGACUGGAUUCCUCGGGAUGUCAAACGUACUGCAGGAAGACCACCGACCCGAUGGUCAGAGUUCUUCACGAAAAGCCUAGAAGAAAGAUAUGAUGCUCGACGAAUCCCUAAAGCGAGGAGAACCCAUUGGGCUACUCUUGCCCGCGAUAGGGAAAAAUGGAGGAUUUACUGGCGCCCGCUCGAGUCACUCGACGAUCAACGGGACUACAGGUGAUACAGGUGAUACAAUGGAAGAAUCAGCUGGCCUAUCCAUUGCCGAAAGGUAUUGGUAAACCGUUGAAACUCUUCCGUGACCGGGAUAGGGAAUUGUAAUUAUUUCCCUUGAACGAGGAAUUCCUAGUAAGUGUGAGUCAUCAGCUCACGCUGAUUACGUCCCUGCCAUUUGUACACACCGCCCGUCGCUGUCCGGGACUGAGCUGUCUCGAGAGGACUGCGGACUACUGUAUUGAGGCCUUCGGGUCGCGAUAUGGCGGGAAACAGUUCAAUCGCAAUGGCUUGAACCGGGUAAAAGUCGUAACAAGGUAUCUGUAGGUGAACCUGCAGAUGGAUCAUCG
rnacentral:ncRNA from 1 species